AGCUCCAAUAGCGUAUAUUAAAGUUGUUGCAGUUAAAAAGCUCGUAGUUGGAUUUGUGGUGUACUUCGGCGGCCCGUCACUAUGUGAUGGAGCUUGCUGAAGUCGCCAUCCUUGGGUGGAUCCUGUGUGGCAUUAAGUUGUCGUGCAGGGGAUGCCCAUCGUUUACUGUGAAAAAUUAGAGUGUUCAAAGCAGGCUUAUGCCGUUGAAUAUAUUAGCAUGGAAUAAUAAGAUAGGACCUUGGUACUAUUUUGUUGGUUUGCGCACCAAGGUAAUGAUUAAUAGGGACAGUUGGGGGUAUUCGUAUUUCAUUGUCAGAGGUGAAAUUCUUGGAUUUUUGAAAGACGAACUACUGCGAAAGCAUUUACCAAGGAUGUUUUCAUUAAUCAAGAACG
rnacentral:rRNA from 1 species